CGCUUGCUAAAACAAUAAAUCAAGUACUACCAUCGAGAUAUUGUACAACAAGUCAGAAACAUGUUGAUCUCCAAAAAGGUUCCAUUCCAGUGUAGAAGCAUCUGUCGUAGAACAAAUGGAAAACUACAUCUGCACCUUCCAGCAAUGACUACGAAAGCAAGAGCUACAAAAGAAAGGUAUAGAGUUCCAGUUCUCAGUGGAGUCCAGUAUUGUUGCUACCAUUCCAAAGUAGAAGCAUCUGCCGUAGAACAAAGCGGAGACAUGUAAUUCAGAAAAACUACAUCAGCCCCUUCUAGGGAAGACAACAAAAGGAAGAGCUGCAUAAGAAAGGUAUAGAGUUCCAGUUCUAUGGAGUACAAUACUGUUGCUAUCAUAGGCUUCCCGCUCCGCACCAAGCAUAAGCAGCUCCAAAAAGGUUCCAUUCCAGACGGGGCUCAGCAUCAUUCUGUAAGGUAUUUCUCCAUCAGUGAUGCAUCCUGUAGUUUAAAAUAAACUCAGGUGAAUCUACGACAAUAUUAAAACUGCCUCAUUAUUUCAUAUCCAAGGCAGAAGAACUGGCAGGCUCAAACUAUAUUCUCUAUAGUUAUAAUAUAGGUUAUCAAACGGCGAGAAAUAGGCAGGCUAACUAAUAACUUUGGGAACCAGACAUAAAAGACGAUUGCUACAAAAAUACAGGCCAUAGGAUUAAAAAGAACUGGCAGGCUCAAACUAUAUUAUGUUUAGUACCCCAGCUCCCAUUCCAGCAGUAGAGUU
rnacentral:lncRNA from 1 species